rnacentral:rRNA from 1 species
AAUCAACGCUGGCGGCGUGCCUAACACAUGCAAGUCGAACGAGAAAGGGGCUUCGGCCCUGAGUAAAGUGGCGCACGGGUGAGUAACACGUGACUAACCUACCCUUGAGUGGGGGAUAACCUCGGGAAACCGGGGCUAAUACCGCAUAAUACCUACGGGUCAAAGGAGCAAUUCGCUCGAGGAGGGGGUCGCGGCCGAUUAGUUAGUUGGCAGGGUAAUGGCCUACCAAGACAGUGAUCGGUAUCCGGCCUGAGAGGGCGCACGGACACACUGGAAC